AGAGACCACAUGGAAACAUUCGAUAGGUUAGGUGACACAUCGAAGAAGUUACGACGCCUUCUCUGAACGCAAAGGAUAUGACUGAUCAUAUAAUGUAGAUCAUCAACCCUUUAUGAACACUGAAAACCCUAUGCUGUUCAGAUGGCUGAUGCAGAUAGCAUAGAAUGACUGGGUGGCCAUGGUGAUACUCCGAGGUGAGGUAUGGCUCUGUUUACCUUUGUAGGCGCCGAGUUGUCAGCUCCAUCCUCAUUGUUGUCCUCUUCCACCUAUAGAAAGAGAGAGAGAGAGAGAGAGAGCGAGCGAGAGAGAGAGAGAGAUCGAAAGAGAGAGAGAGCGAGAGAGCAAAAGAUCGAAAAAGAGAGAGAGAGAUUGAAAGAGAGAGAUCGAAAGAUCAAAAGAGAGAGAAUGAGAGAGAGAGAGAGAUCACUACAGGCUUUUCCAGCUUCAGUUUCAGGAGGGAGGGACAAUGAGAUGUAUAAGCUGCUCCUGAUAGAGUGUCCCAUCAUGUACAAAACAAAAAGCUGUUUUCCAGCACCAAGCCGUGGUGCCAACACCUAAGGGCACUAGCAUUCUUCCUAAACCAAACUGAGUCUUCUUCAAGCAGACCAUUUUAAAACAUUUACCAACAUCUGGACAUGGAAUGGGGACAAACUGUUUCAGAGGGUUAAACUAGGCUUUCAGUGCGACAAAAACAAAACAAAACAAAUUUGCAAGACAGAAACUGGUCAUUCAAAUACCCUGCUGUAGACUGUACAGCGUUAUGAAUUUCAGUCAUGCUGGGUUUUUUUUUCAGAUCUCUCAAACCAGGGUGGCAUAACCUGUUUGGAACAGGAUCCAGCAAGAUUUCUCAGAACAUAAAGAUUAAAGCCACAGUCCUUGAGUGCUAGGAGCAGACAUGGGCAGUAUUUUAAAUAGGUUAUUUAGCAUAUUGUGUAAUUUGUAUUUUGCAGGAUUAGAACAAAUCUAAUGUAGUUUGUGACAAAAUACUUUUGGGAUUAUGUCCCCGGUUUUGGUCUCAGACAUCUGGUCAUCUUACUCCGUAGACAAUUUAAAAACAUUAUCUGUCUUUUCUGUUUCAUCAUCCUCUUAGAACAUUGAAGGCUGAGGGAAAAAAAAUGAAAAAGUAACUAACUUCAAGAGCUUGAAUAGUUAGGCGUGUCGAGUGUUACAAGAGUAAAAGUUGAAAACGAUACAGAUCAGAUAAGAUACUGAAGGAGAACAUUAAGACAUGAACCCAUAUGAUGAUGACCUAUGACCCCAGUACCCAAUAGCUAUGAUGUUCAUUCCCACCACAGAACAGUAUUGAACCACUUAAAGGAUUAUGACUUUUUUGUUAAAUCCUCCACAGGAUUUAUGCAAGGGAUCCACCAAGAUCUGCUGAAAUAAUGGAGGAAAUGGACGCAAAGACCUCCCUGAUGGCAAAAAAACGUUUUCUCCACUAAGUUAAUUAUCAGGACACCGACAGGAUGUUAUUCGGUUUGUCCCCCAUGUUGCGACAUGUACAGUAUGUUGGCAACAGGCAUGCAAUUAUAGCAAAAAAAGGGAAAUGGAGUUCAGGUCAAAAAAUAGGCCGACCUGUUAAAUUUGUCAUUCUACAUUUUUGAGUAACGGAAAUUAUCUUGGGCAGUUGGUGAUAUUACAGCUGAUUACAUUUGUUUUACCAGAUCUACUUCAUACUGUAGGAGCACCAAUGUACAGAACUAAUAGCCCUCUGUCAGCCAAUCAGACAAUAGUAUUUCUUGUCUUUUGGGGAUACGUUUUCAAUAAUAUGCCUUGUAGUUCACAUCAGUAUUUUGUAUUUUAUUUUGUUGCAUUUUAUGAUCCAGUAUAUGUAGCUUGUAACAAAAUAGUUUUUGAUGCAUUUGUGCCCACCUCUGCUCAGGAGUAGGGUUUCCAUCCACAGUUCAGGCCUACUACUCCAGGAGGAAAUAUGCUGUUUCCUGAGCCAUUUGGUUUCUCUCUAUAACAGUCUCUGCUAACCCAAGAUUAAUGCAUCGGUCAAAUGUUUUUUUGUUUUUUUUUAACCCUGCCUGUAGUGACUUUCACUAAAUGGACAAUAGAUCCAGCACUAUUUGAAUGUUGCUUGUUACAACCUCAGUGGCAAACACCACUGAUAAGGACACUCUUGCUGGCUUUGUAAGCUACGGCGAUAACACAAGUGCAAGAGUGGUUGACCAUUAACAACACUUAAACACAUGUGACUCCACUGCAGUUUUCCUGUCUGGUGGCAACAGGAAGCGGUUAGUUACAUGCAGUAUUGUGUUGAGUGUAGCUAGAGAGUAGUUCUCUCUCUUUCUGCAGAGAGAAAUGCAUGCUAGAAGGGCAAACGCUUGCAACAUGGGGGAGAGGUCAUGACUGCUUUCCCUCCCUCAUCCAAAGAAAGUCAGAGACAGGUUUGACACGCCAAUCCAGAAAAAAAAACACAACCAACAUUAAAGGCUGGAGUUUGUUGGUGUUUGUUGGUGCUUGUUGGUGCUUGUUGGUGCUUGUUGGAGUUUGCCAGAACGGUGCAAACUGACAGAUGAUCUUUAUGUGUGCGCCGCAACCCGACGUCAAAAUCGGAUACGAUUUUUAAAUCGUGUAGUUUGAGCCCAGCUUAAGUUGAGUAAUUGAAAAGGAGCAUGGAAUGGAAUAGUUAAGCUGGAACCUCUACAGAGCACUUGGCUAUUCCUCUUUGUGUUUGUGUCUCUGAAGGAGAGUGGACAUCAGUAAUGGUAAUGGCUUCCUGUCACUUGGCCCAGUCUCAAAAAAUCUGAAGUGAACCGAGCUCAGAGUGAGUACGCCCUAAGACUCCAAAAUAAAUGGAGGAAGCUGUUUAUUCACUCACAUUAUUUCUAUACUGCAGCAAACAUAUCUCCAAGACUACAGUCAUUAGGCUGCUCGACAAAUACUGCAACCUAUUCAACUAACCUUGCACUAGUCUCUUCACAUCAUUAUUCUAUUCUUCACAGAAAUCAAUUUAUACAUUUGACUAAGGAAGCAUAUCAUGAUAUCUUGCUGAAGUAUCCAAGCGCUGCCCAGUACCUUUCCACUGUCGUCCCCUCCCUCGGGAGACGAGCCCUCCUCCUCUAUCGUCCGAGCUGCUUCCUCCUC